rnacentral:rRNA from 1 species
AGAGUUUGAUCCUGGCUCAGAAUGAACGCUAAUAGUAUGCUUAACACAUGCAAGUCGAACGGAAAUUUAAUUUUCGUGGCGUACGGGUGAGGAAUGUACAGAAUGCUACCUUUUAGUUUAGGACAAAAAAUAACUUGAGGUUAUUUAAAUACUAAAUAGUAAAUAAAAGUUAUAUUUAAAAAAUAUAUUCUGCUAAAAGAUGGGUCUGUGUAAGAUUAGGUAGUUGGUAAAUUUAACAGCUUACCAAGCCUAUGAUCUUUAGUUGAUCUUAGAGGAUGAUCAACCACACUGGAACUGAAAUAAGGUCCAGGCUGAAUUUUUCGGCCAGCAGUGAGGAAUAUUGGACAAUGGACGAAAGUCUGAUCCAGCAAUACUAUAUGAAUGAAGACUGCUUUUUAGCUGUAAAAUUCUUUCAUUAAGAAUGAUAAUGACAUUACUUAAAGAAGUUUAGUCCCGGCCAAUACUCGUGCCAGCAGCCGCGGUAAUACGGGAGGGGCAAGCGUUAUUCGCCAUGACUGGGCGUAAAGAGUCCGUAGACUGUAAAGUAAGUUACUAGUUAAAUUUUAAAGCCUAACUUUAAAUCAGCUUUUAAUACUGCUUUACUUGAGUUUUAUAUAGAAGAGUAGAAUUUUAUAUGAAAGGGUAAAAUCUGAAUAUAUAUAAAGGAAUACCAUUAGCGAAGGCGACUCUUUGAUAAAAACUGACGUUAAGGGACGAAAGUGUGGGUAGCAAACAGGAUUAGAUACCCUGGUAGUCCACACUGUAAAUUCUGAGUGCUGUAAUUUAAUGUAAGUUUUUACUUAUUUAGAUUUUUAAGCUAACGCUAUAAGCACUCCGCCUGAGGAGUACGAUCGCAAGGUUGGAACUCAAAGGAAUUGACGGGGGCUAAUACUAGUGGUGGAGCAUGUGGUUUAAUGCGAUAAUCCGCGCAAAACCUUACCAAUUCUUGACAUAAAAAUAUUUUUUGAUUUUUAGUUUUUUAAAACUUAAAAUAAAAUUUUUACAGGUGUUGCACGGCUGUCGUCAGCUCGUGUCGUGAGAUGUUUGGUUGAUUCCCUUAACGAGCGAAACUCUUAUCUUUAAUAUUAACUAAUUUUAAAAAUUUUCAAUAAUUUUUUUAAAAAGCUUUAAAGAUACCGUCAAUGAUAAGUUGAAGGAAGGUGAGAACGAAGUCAAGUCAAUGUGACCCUGAUGAAUUGGGCUACACACGUGCUACAAUGAAAAUCACAAAAAGUAACAAAAAAAGUAAUUUUUCGUUAAUCUACAAAAAUUUUCCCAGUUCGAAUUGUAAUCUGAAACUCGAUUACAUGAAGUUGGAAUCACUAGUAAUCGCAAAUAAGAACGUUGCGGUGAAUUUGUCAAUUAGCCUUGUACCCACCGCCCGUCACAUGCAGAAAGUCAGUUUUUAUUGAAGAUUUUAGUUUGUAAGAUCCAUUUAAAAAUCGAUGAUUUGGAUGAAGUCGUAACAAGGUAGCCGUA